rnacentral:rRNA from 1 species
AAUCCCAAAAAGUGCGUCGUAGUCCGGAUUGGAGUCUGCAACUCGACUCCAUGAAGUCGGAAUCGCUAGUAAUCGUGGAUCAGAAUGCCACGGUGAAUACGUUCCCGGGCCUUGUACACACCGCCCGUCACACCAUGGGAGUGGGCUGCAAAAGAAGUAGGUAGUUUAACCUUCGGGGGGACGCUUACCACUUUGUGGUUCAUGACUGGGGUGAAGUCGUAACAAGGUAGCGCUAGGGGAACCUGGCGCUGGA